rnacentral:sRNA from 1 species
AUGAAGAGAAACAAUCACACAGAGUUAAGAGAGUUUGUUUUCCAAGGUUUCUCCAAUUUUCAAGAACAUCAGCUCACACUUUUUGUGGUCUUUCUCGCCCUCUACAUCCUAACUCUGGCUGGCAAUUUCAUCGUUCCGGCCAUAAUCUAUGUUGACCAUCACCUCCAUACUCCUAUGUACUUCUUUUUAAGUGUGCUAUCCACUUCAGAGACUUUCUAUUCCCUGGUCAUUAUCCCACGCAUACUUUCCAGCCUUGUAGGCCUGAGCCAAUACAUUUCCCUGGAGGGCUGUGGGACUCAGAUCUUUUUUUUUUACUUGGCUUUGCCAUCACCAACUGCCUCCUGCUAGCAGUAAUGGGAUAUGAUCACUAUGUGGCCAUCUGCAACCCACUUCGAUACUCAGUCAUCAUGAAUUGGAGGGUGUGUGCCAUACUGGCAUCCUCAGUCUGUGCCACAGGGUUCUCACUCUCACUGGUUCAGACUGUGGCCAUUUUCAGGCUGCCCUUUUGAGCCCCACUGAUUGAGCAUUUCUCCUGUGAUGUUCGGCCUGUGUUGGACCUGGCCUGUGCUACCCCAAUGAUCAAUGAUAUUCUGACCUUAAUUAUGAGCCUCCUUGCCAUCACAGCCCCAGCCACCUUCCUCUUCAUCUCUUAUGUCCUUAUUAUUUCCACCAUUCUCAAGAUCGCCUCAGCUGAAGGCAGGAAGAAGACCUUUGCCACCUGUGCAUCCCACCUCACUGUGGUCAUUAUCAACUAUGGCUGUGCCUCCAUUGCCUACUUCAAGCCCAAUUUGGAGAAUACCAAAGAUCAGGAUCAGUUAAUCUCAGUGACCUACACUGUCAUAACACCUUUACUAAACCUUGUUGUGUAUAGUCUGAGAAAUAAAGAAGUCCAGGACGCUCUGCAGAGAGUGCUGGGUAGGAAAUUCUUCUCCUAA